GAAUUAUGACAAAGAUCCUGAACUUGCUGAUAUUCUUGGCACCUGUCUUGAUGAUCCCGAUAAGGCUAAGUCAAGGUUGGAGGAGAGAUUGAGAAAGAAAAGGAAUAAAAUUGUACAUACAAAGACAGGUUCACCAACACCCAUGACAGUCGAAUUCAACAAAUUUGAUUAUUCAAACACCUUUAUAUGGUUUGAGUUCUACAAUGCCCCAUUGGAGAAGGACAUCUCCUUGAUUUGUGACACAAUUCGGUCUUGGCACAUUGUUGGACGUCUUGGUGGAUGUAAUUCGAUGAAUAUGCAAUUGUCCCAAUCUCCUUUGGACAAAAGACCAAAUUAUGAUGCUGUUCAGGGGGCAAAUGUAACACCUACUACAUUCUAUAAUAUUGGAGAUGUUGAGAUUCAAGAUAACGUGGCUCGCAUAUGGGUGGACAUUGGGACUAGUGAGCCUUUACUGUUGGAUGUAUUGAUUAAUGCUUUGUCACAGAUAAGUUCCGAUUAUGUCGGUAUCAAACAAGUAGUAUUUGGUGGAUCUGAAUUUGAGAACUGGAAGGAGAACAUGACAUCGGAGGAUGCCGGUUACAGUGUUCACAAGAUAUAGAUGACUUAUUGAGUCUGAAAGCUUCUGGUUAGAAGAUGAAACACAGCAUAGGAGGUAAAGGGCUCUAAGAAGUGGCAUUUGUUAACACAAAAGCAACUAGAGAUCGGGUUUACCACUCGGGCUUUCAAG
rnacentral:misc_RNA from 1 species